UGCUGCUUGCGCACAGAGCUCUCGCUCGGACUCGGCAGCGGCGUUUCGCUUCUCACCUCUCUCGCCCGGGCUUUGCAGCCAGCCAGAAACUGCUGCCACAGCAGAGCCUCGGCGAGCGGCCGGGAGACGCCCUCGCGGAGAGAGCCCAGAGUCCCCGCAGAGGCGGGGUGCGGGGAGCCCCGGAGUCUAGCCAGGAUGCGAGAGGAGUAGAGGGGGGGCCGGGCCAGAGCAGCCCAGAAGGACGGUGCAGGUGCAGCCGGUGGCUGCGGUGCUUGUUCCCGGAGGAGGGGGCAGCAGCAAGCUGAUUUCCCCCCACACGCAUACACGCACGCACCCCGUGUGGCCAGAGGAUGGGAGCCAAGUUGGAGCUGCGGCUUCUCCUUGCCAGGAGCCGGCUGCUGGGCUGAAGCCGCGGUCUGCGGGGCUCAUGCUCGUGUGCAUGGACUGUGGAUUUACGUAGUGAUUCCCUCUGAUGUGAAUGCAGCAUCUCUUGUCCCUCUGGGAUGCCGUAGGUGAUGCCCAGCUCUACUGCAAUGGCAAUUGGCGCUCUCUCUAGUUCUCUUCUUGUAACCUGCUGUCUCAUGGUUGCUCUCUGUAGCUCCACCAUACCUGUGCAAAAACUGGCCAAGGCUCCAGACAAACAGGAGAUAAAAACAAGUCAGGAAAAGAGGGAUCAUACAUCAACCAGGCCGGACAGUCAGAGUCAGACAGGCCCAGGGAAAAUGAAUGAACUUGGAAGGAAUGGGCGGGAAGAGGGUACCAGAGAUUGGAAGAGCAAAGGAAACAGAAAUUAUUCAAACAAAGAAUCUUGGACUAGGCAAAAACAGGUUUGGAAUAGUCAAGGAACAAGCAGUAAAUCUGGGAACGUUCAAGCACAGGAGCAAAGGGAUGGUGUUCCAGAGGAACCUCAGGCGGCUGAAGAAUCAUCCCUCCCAGAAGUUGUUGCUAGUACUACUCCUGAGCCUCCGGAGGAGUAUGCCUAUCCAGAUUACCGUGGGAAAGGCUGUGUGGAUGAGAGUGGCUUCGUUUAUGCUAUUGGGGAGAAGUUUACUCCAGGUCCCUCUGCUUGCCCCUGCCUUUGCACUGAUGAGGGACCUCUGUGCAUUCAACCUGAGUGCCCAAGACUCCAUCCACGGUGUAUUCAUGUAGACACCAGUCAGUGCUGCCCACAGUGCAAAGAGAGGAAGAACUACUGUGAGUUCAGAGGAAAGACCUACCAGACACUAGAAGAAUUCAUGGUUUCCCCAUGUGAGAGAUGCCGUUGUGAAGCCAAUGGUGAAGUGCUGUGCACAGUGUCUGCUUGUCCUCAGACUGAAUGUGUGGAUCCAGUGUAUGAGCCAGAUCAAUGCUGCCCCAUCUGCAAAAAUGGCCCAAACUGCUUUGCCGAAACCACUGUCAUUCCAGCUGGCCGAGAGGUGAAGACUGAUGAAUGCACUAUAUGUCACUGUACUUACGAAGAAGGCACUUGGAGAAUUGAACGACAAGCUAUGUGCACUAGACAUGAAUGCAAACAAAUCUAGGGAAUCUACAAAUCAAAGUACUAUGAUGUUUUUAUAAAAUACUUCACUGCGGUGAAAACCCUAGAUAAGCCUGGGAAAGAUUAUUAAUUGUAAUAAGAAUAUUUUUGGUGAGGAGAAAAGAUCAUCAUACUGGUAUUUUGUUUUUCAUAGUAAUGUAAUACUGCAAGACAAAGAAAUACAUAUAUUUAAAAAAAGUUUGGACAUAAAAAAUCCUGUCUUAAUGUUUUAUUUUCACGACUUCUAUCAGGAUUUUAAUGGAAGUUUUGCCAUUGACUUCAAGGGGCCAGGAUUUCACACCAAGUAUCGAUUUUGCCCACAUAGCUACCAAUCACCAGACAACUGUUUGUUUCUCAACCAGAUCAUGGACAAGAAAAUGAGGAAACUACAAAGCAGCAAAGACAUAAAAUGCACAGCAAGCUUAAGUAACCAUAACAAUUAAAAAUCUGAAGAAAAAUAGUCCUACAACAAAAUGUACCUUCAAGUUCACACAUUGUCCGCCUGGAUGGACUGAGGCUAUCAAGGAAAGUAGGUUUUGGACUGAUUAUGAUUUUUUCAAACGUCUUCUGAAUCCAUCAACUAUCAAAAUGAUUUUCCUCAAGCCUAUGUACAUGUAUAUAAAGUACAUCAAAAUAUUAUACUAAAAAGCUAUUAUCAAUAAGCAGCAGAAAGAAUGUCCAACACAUGUUUCACUCUUAGCAUAAAAAUAUUACUCUGCUAGCGGUAGUAAAUGGAAAUCACUAAUGGGCAGAUUGUGAAGAGCAUCAUCACGUGUGCACC